GAUUAACGCUAGCGGCAGGCCUAAUACAUGCAAGUCGAACGGUAACAGGUCCAGCAAUGGAUGCUGACGAGUGGCGCACGGGUGCGUAACACGUAUGCAAUCUACCCUUAACUGGGGGAUAGCCCCGAGAAAUCGGGAUUAAUACCCCAUAUUAUUAUGAUGAGGCAUCUCAUUAUAAUCAAAGCUCCGGCGGUUUUGGAUGAGCAUGCGCGACAUUAGUUAGUUGGUGAGGUAACGGCUCACCAAGACUGCGAUGUCUAGGGGUUCUGAGAGGAUUCACCCCCACACUGGUACUGAGACACGGACCAGACUCCUACGGGAGCAG
rnacentral:rRNA from 1 species